GUGAUGUAAUGGCAGGAAGAAGGUGUGUCUUGCUCUUUGCUGGUUCCUGUUUGUUGUUUGCUGCUGCAGUGAACUGCUGUCCAGCGAUGCCUGCCUGCCUUGGAGCCAACUGAGUGUGGACUGAAACCUCCAAAAUCUGAUAAAACCUUGAUGCUCUUUUCCCCAAAGACUUUCACUGGAAACUAAAGUCCAUAAAUGUCUAUUUGCAAUGUGGAGGUCAAGCUCUGAAUGAGAAAUCUACGCUGAACGCUGUCUCUGUUGCAAUCCCACUGUGAAAUAAGCAAGAUGCUUAAUCUCUGGUGCAAAAAUGUUCCCAUUUGCAAUAACAAGUUUUUUACAUUUUGUCCAGUGUCUAGGAUAAGACAGGUUUUCAAAAAAGUACAUUCAAUAACUCCCUAGUGACAAAAAACUCCUCUAUUUUAAGUCCAGAUAUGAUUUAAGUCCAGAUUAUAGAUUUAGUCUAUGUAUAUAAAAACCAUGAUUUAUGCAGAUAAUAAAAUAACUCAUUCACUACCUGA